UUUCAAGCCAAAAUUAUAGGGGAGUUCAUGGUGUGAUGUGCUGACUUCAUGAAACUGCUGUUUUUCACCUGUCCAGGGCCUUACAGCAGAAACACGUGUCAACAUGUGGAAAUCCUGGGCUACUCUUCCACUUGGGUCCACAAGCAGCAUGAAAACAGACCAAUACAGGAACCACGACUGAAAAUGACAUCUGGAUCAAGGAUGGCAAAUACCAGAACGUGGGCUAAAGAUAGCACUCAUAAUGCUGUUGUUAAACAGCAUCCUUUUUGCUAGGAUAAAUAAAUUCUUUCUUGAUUAUAAAUCUAAGAAUGGAUGGGAUGGAGAUCAUUUUCGCAGUUUGUUUCUUUUCCACAUGGCAGAAUUUUCUCCAAAAUGCUCAACUGUUAUUUCAGGCACUGGGUGUCUGGGAAACCAUACGGCUGUGAGCAUUUGCGACGGAAGGUUAUCUCUGUCUGAAAUUGGAUCUAUAUACAUUAUGUCAGCCUCCACCAGUUGUCCAGUGAUGAAUGCAGUGCCUACCUCAGCCAGCUUGGCGUUCCAGGG
rnacentral:lncRNA from 1 species